CUUCAUUGGUGUGCUGGCGUCCCUCCGUGACAACCUGUACCUUCUCCAAGCAUUCAUGUACAUCCUUGGGAUCUGCCUCAUCAUGGAGCUCAUUGGUGGCGUGGUGGCCUUGACCUUCCGGAACCAGACCAUUGACUUCCUGAACGACAACAUUCGAAGAGGAAUUGAGAACUACUAUGACGAUCUGGACUUCAAAAACAUCAUGGACUUUGUUCAGAAAAAUUUCAAGUGCUGUGGCGGGGAGGAUUACCGAGAUUGGAGCAAGAAUCAGUACCACGACUGCAGUGCCCCUGGACCCCUGGCCUGUGGGGUGCCCUACACCUGCUGCAUCAGGAACACGACAGAAGUUGUCAACACCAUGUGUGGCUACAAAACUAUCGACAAGGAGCGUUUCAGUGUGCAGGAUGUCAUCUACGUGCGGGGCUGCACCAACGCCGUGAUCAUCUGGUUCAUGGACAACUACACCAUCAUGGCGGGCAUCCUCCUGGGCAUCCUGCUCCCCCAGGUGGGCAGGCCAUGGGUUCAGAGAAAGUGUGACUUGGUGAUUGCAGAAGGGCAGAGAAGGUGCAGAGGGGAAGAGCGAAGAGGCUUUUUUCACAGAAGUC
rnacentral:sRNA from 1 species